rnacentral:rRNA from 1 species
AUUGAACGCUGGCGGCAGGCCUAACACAUGCAAGUCGAGCGGAUGAAGGGAGCUUGCUCCUGGAUUCAGCGGCGGACGGGUGAGUAAUGCCUAGGAAUCUGCCUGGUAGUGGGGGAUAACGUCCGGAAACGGGCGCUAAUACCGCAUACGUCCUGAGGGAGAAAGUGGGGGAUCUUCGGACCUCACGCUAUCAGAUGAGCCUAGGUCGGAUUAGCUAGUUGGUGGGGUAAAGGCCUACCAAGGCGACGAUCCGUAACUGGUCUGAGAGGAUGAUCAGUCAAAGUGGAAGUGAGACACGGCCCUGGGCCUUAGGGGAGGCCGGGGGGGGGAAUGUUGGAAGAAGGGGGGAAGCUUGCACCAGCCGUGGAGGGUGGAUGAAGAAGGGCUUCGGAUUGGAAAACGCUUUAAGGGGGGGAGAAGGGUUGUAAGUUAAACCCUUGGUGUUUUACCGUUACCAACAAAAAAACCCCGGCUUAAUUUGUU